rnacentral:lncRNA from 1 species
GUGGGGAUUUAUCCGUCGGUAGGACUUGGGAACGUUGCGGAGUCUCAGCUGCCGGAGAGGUUCGAAAAGAUGUCGCCGAAGGUCGGACGUCGGUAGAAUCCCGGGAGGGUCACUCCUGACACGAACUUCGGCUAGGGGAUAUUUUAUACCCAACAAACAUGAAAGCUAGUUUCCUAUCUCGAUGACUUUAUAAUGGGCUAUACACCAGGUGAAUGAUACUAUAGUGUAAUUUCAUUAUCAUCUGGAU